rnacentral:rRNA from 1 species
GUACUGUCUUUGGGGAAGAACGGUGGGUUUGAGAAUAUUGAGGCCACAUGACGGUACCCAAGGAGGAAGCCCCGGCUAACUACGUGCCAGCAGCCGCGGUAAUACGUAGGGGGCAAGCGUUGUCCGGAAUUAUUGGGCGUAAAGGGCGCGUAGGCGGAUGCUUAAGUCCGGUGUGAAAGAUCAGGGCUCAACCCUGAGAGUGCAUCGGAAACUGGGUAUCUUGAGGACAGGAGAGGAAAGUGGAAUUCCACGUGUAGCGGUGAAAUGCGUAGAUAUGUGGAGGAACACCAGUGGCGAAGGCGACUUUCUGGACUGUAACUGACGCUGAGGCGCGAAAGCGUGGGGAGCAAACAGGAUUAGAUACCCUGGUAGUCCACGCCGUAAACGAUGAGUGCUAGGUGUAGAGGGUAUCGACCCCUUCUGUGCCGCAGUUAACACAAUAAGCACUCCGCCUGGGGAGUACGGCCGCAAGGUUGAAACUCAAAUGAAUUGACGG